AUUUCUCUACCUGCGUUCGCACCCACACCGAGGCUGUGUCAUCCCUGGCGGCUGAGAGAGCUUGGCUGCUUUCAUUCAGAUGCCGCUUCUUACACACAGCACCCGGGACAAGACACUUAAAGAAAUGUCCGUCAGGUCACUAGCUGACCAUCCCAAGUACAGAACAGAGACUUCAGGGGCCACAGACAAAGCAUACAGUCUAUACAAAAAUGGUUUAGAAAAGUCACUAAACAACCAACUGUAACCCACAAUGAACAACAAAAACAAUCCCCAUAGACUGUUAUUUGGCGAUUAAAAAGUGAAGUACUCAACAUACUACAGUAUGGACAAAACUUGAAACAUUUUGAUAAAUGGAAGAAGCCACACAAGAGGCCACAUAUUGUGUGACUCCAUUCACAUCAAGUACCCAGAAGAGGCAAAUGGAGACGGGAAGCAGGUCAGCGAUUCCACGGGUCGGGGUCUUGGUUGGGGGGCGACUGAUCAGCGGGUGAGCGGUUUCCUUCCCGGGGACGGAGUUGCUCUGGAGCUGGGUCGUGGUGAUGGUUGCACAACACUGUGUAUGUUCUAAGUAUCGUUGAGUUUUAUACUUUAAAACGGUAAGUUUUAAGUGA